rnacentral:rRNA from 1 species
UGGUUAAAAAGCUCGUAGUUGGAUCUCAACAGCCUUGAAGCGAUUAACUUUGUAGUUUUACUGCUUUAUAGGCUGUGCUUUUGCUGGAGGUUUAGGGGUGCUCUUGAUCGAGUGUCUCUGGAUGCCAGCAGGUUUACUUUGAAAAAAUAGAGUGCUCAAAGCAGGCUAAAAUGCCUGAAUAUUCGUGCAUGGAAUAAUAGAAUAGGAUGUCGAUCCUAUUUUGUUGGUUUUCGGGACUCGACAUAAUGAUAAAUAGGGACAGUCGGGGGCAUUUGUAUUCAAACGACAGAGGUGAAAUUCUUAGACCGUUUGAAGACAAACUACUGCGAAAGCAUUUGCCAAGAAUGUUUUCAUUAAUCAAGAACGAAAGUUAGAGGUUCGAAGGCGAUUAGAUACCGCCCUAGUUCUAACCAUAAACGAUGCCAGCUAGCGAUCUGCCUGCGUUUUUACUGUAGACUGGGCAGGAAGCUUCCGGGAAACCAAAGCAUUUGGGUUCCAGGGGAAGUAUGGUUGCAAAGCUGA